GACGAACGCUGGCGGCGUGCUUAACACAUGCAAGUCGAACGGAAAGGCCCCCUUGUGGGGUACUCGAGUGGCGAACGGGUGAGUAACACGUGAGUAACCUACCCUUGACUUUGGGAUAACUUCAGGAAACUGGGGCUAAUACCGGAUAGGAGCUCCUGCUGCAUGGUGGGGGUUGGAAAGUUUCGGCGGUUGGGGAUGGACUCGCGGCUUAUCAGCUUGUUGGUGGAGUAGUGGCUCACCAAGGCUUUGACGGGUAGCCGGCCUGAGAGGGUGACCGGCCACAUUGGGACUGAGAUACGGCCCAGACUCCUACGGGAGGCAGCAGUGGGGAAUAUUGCACAAUGGGCGGAAGCCUGAUGCAGCAACGCCGCGUGCGGGAUGACGGCCUUCGGGUUGUAAACCGCUUUCGCCUGUGACGAAGCGUGAGUGAUGGUAAUGGGUAAAGAAGCACCGGCUAACUACGUG
rnacentral:rRNA from 1 species